GCGGCAACAGCUCAAAUUUGAAAGCUAGCCUUCGGGUUCGCAUUGUAAUUUGUAGAGGAUGAUUUGGGGAAGCCGCCUGUCUAAGUUCCUUGGAACAGGACGUCAUAGAGGGUGAGAAUCCCGUAUGUGACAGGAAAUGGCACCCUAUGUAAAUCUCCUUCGACGAGUCGAGUUGUUUGGGAAUGCAGCUCUAAAUGGGAGGUAAAUUUCUUCUAAAGCUAAAUAUUGGCGAGAGACCGAUAGCGCACAAGUAGAGUGAUCGAAAGAUGAAAAGCACUUUGGAAAGAGAGUUAAAAAGCACGUGAAAUUGUUGAAAGGGAAGCGCUUGCAAUCAGACUUGUUUAAACUGUUCGGCCGGUCUUCUGACCGGUUUACUCAGUUUGGACAGGCCAGCAUCAGUUUCGGCGGCCGGAUAAAGGCUCUGGGAAUGUGGCCUCCACUUCGGUGGAGGUGUUAUAGCCCAGGGUGUAAUACGGCCAGCCGGGACUGAGGUCCGCGCUUCGGCUAGGAUGCUGGCGUAAUGGUUGUAAGCGACCCGUCUUGAAACACGGACC
rnacentral:rRNA from 1 species